GGGGCUGUAGCUUAGUAGGCCAGAGCGACAAUGCCUAGCUACAAGCUGGUUAUUGGAGGCAUAGGUUCGAUUCCUAUCAGCUCCU
rnacentral:tRNA from 1 species